UGACCAUAGUUUAGUGGCAGAGCACAAUGUACUUUGAAUGCAAAAGGUCUCAGGUUCAAUUCCUGUUGUGGUAG